CACAAAUCCCGACCCUUUCCUCUUCUUCUCCUGUUCCUCCUUUCUUCUUUCCAAUCCCUUCUAGCUAGCGAUCAAGGAAAGGAUCGAUUUUCUCGGGAAAAUCUUAGCAACUACAGCCACAAAGAGGGAGUCAUUGUCUUUCUUCUCCAUUUGUUCUUCAUAACAAGGAAAUUUUUCUGCUGCACUUGUUCGAUUUCCAGGCAUAUAAACCACAAAUUGGUUGACCUGGGUUAACCCGUGUAAUUUAAAACCCGGUUUUGUAGCCGGGUUAACUUUCCGGCAGAUGGCUUCUCUCUCUUUUGCCUUUUUUCGAGGAACUUGCCCUUUUAGGGAAAUUACCUUACCUUCUUUAAGGUCAAUCAAUCUGUACCUGGUUAAGUUUUGUCUAGUUUAAUUAAGACCUACCUGUAUUACUGUUGAUAAAUUUAUUUCCCCGACAGAGCUUGCUUUCUGCUUUGACUUUUCCCUUUAACCUGGCUGCUGUUUUGUUUGCGGUUUGCAUGUUGCCACGGGUGGCGGUGGCGCCAGGGGUACGCCGAACGUGAGAGACCCGAAUAGUUCGUCGGGGUUCGCUAUUUAAGAUUUGAUCAGGUAAGCAUGAAGCCAAAAUGUGUAAAGAUCCAAAUAGUUGUUCAAACUCAAAAGAUGGUUGGAAGCAUCUUGGAUUUCUCCUCUUCCAACAAAGACGUGAAUGGUCAAGUUAACCCAGUACAACAAAGAUUCCAUAGGAAGCAUGUGCUGGCAUGUCUAGUAUGUCACAGUUCGAAGGAAGCAAUCCAUUGGCUUAGCAGAGUCAAAGCCUCCAUGUUAAAGCAUUAAUCAAUCUUAGAAUACUGGAAACCUGAGAAUCAAACUAGCAUUUAGCACAAGGAAGACCAUCACCACCGUUUCUGCUGUCAGAUUUCACUGGUUUUCGAGUGCAUAUUUCAUAUUUGUGAGACAUUCAUAAGCUCUGUUACUGGCUUGUCCAAGACAACUCAACUCUCUGCAAACAUGUUUUGGCUAGAAUAGAAUUUUACGUA